AUUGGUCGAGGUAACCGUAGAAACAGCCAAUGGCUGGGACAGAGGCUUUGGGACAAAAACAUGACGAGGACUGCCGGGGCGCGAUAUUAUGAACCCUACAUAGCCCUCGCCAAAAUCCCGUACCCUGUCCCAAAUCUCGCGAACGGACGCCGGAUUUCCGCUGCGUUGCUAAGGAAACAAUCAACUAUCAACUCGGUGCGAAGCAAAGCUAACGUUAGCUACCUUCAAUUUUGUAAUUUUGUAUUUUUCGCAAUUUUGGACAGCUGGCUGCUUUUGUAAUUUUGGACUGCUGGCUGUCAACAACAGAACGGAGAAUUACUGGCGCACCAUGGGGGACAGAAGGCCAUUGGGACAAUUACAAAACAAUGAGUCGCUGAAAGCUACCUCAGUCUGCCGCUUGUGGGAGUCCCCCCCCGUGUUUGACGUCACCCCUCCCCUCUACUUGCUCCAGCCUGCUGACGGCCAAGGCUCUGGCUGAGUCAACCCCGCACAUACCAGGAAGUAACGCGAGAGCGGCACUUCCUCCCAGAAUGGGACACAGAAAACAUUUGGAAAGGAUAUUUUACCCAACUGAAUGCCGUACACCCCCUUUUAAGAACAUUCCCAACAAAACGGAACAGGCUAUUCAUCUGGAAUAACUCCCUCAGUGCCAUGCAUUGUUUAUAUGUGUAUAUUAUUCUAAUUGUGUUAUUGAUAUUUACUGUUGUUAAAAACUAUCAGUGUGUUCAUUUACAUUGUUCUGUUUUUUUAAUUACAGUUUACAAGGAGGAAUGUAUAUUUGUUUGUGUGUGUUGGUGGGGGUAAAAAGGAGUCUGAUUCACAGAAAUGUUAGUAAAGCUUUGGAAAGAAAAAAGUCACAUCCUCUCACGGCGCUUGGUUUGGCCCCACUACAUACACAUUGUUAAUUCAUUAUACAUGGUUGGUUUUUCAUUUUUUUUAAUCACAACAAAUUAUGUGUGUGCCUGUUUUUACUCAGAUGUCCUUUAACAGUGUUAACAUUUUACCUGGGCCAUUAUUCUUUUCACUCUAAUCAGGUCACACACACACACACACACACACACAAUAUGUAUCUAUACUGACUUGACAGUCCGUUGUGUCAAUGAGUCAUUAGGUAGACCAGCUGGUGUUACUCCUACACCA